rnacentral:rRNA from 1 species
GAUGAACGCUGGCGGCGUGCCUAAUACAUGCAAGUCGAGCGAACAGACGAGGAGCUUGCUCCUCUGACGUUAGCGGCGGACGGGCGAGUAACACGUGGAUAACCUACCUAUAAGACUGGGAUAACUUCGGGAAACCGGAGCUAAUACCGGAUAAUAUAUUGAACCGCAUGGUUCAAUAGUGAAAGACGGUUUUGCUGUCACUUAUAGAUGGAUCCGCGCCGCAUUAGCUAGUUGGUAAGGUAACGGCUUACCAAGGCAACGAUGCGUAGCCGACCUGAGGGGGUGAUCGGCCACACUGGAACUGAGACACGGUCCAGACUCCUACGGGAGGCAGCAGUAGGGAAUCUUCCGCAAUGGGCGAAAGCUUGACGGAGCAACGCCGCGUGAGUGAUGAAGGUCUUCGGAUCGUAAAGCUCUGUUAUUAGGGAAGAACAAAUGUGUAAGUAACUAUGCACGUCUUGACGGUACCUAAUCAGAAAGCCACGGCUAACUACGUG